AUAAUAAUAAUAAUAAUAAUAGACCAAUUUAAAAGUGGUUAAUUUGGCCACUAAAAGGAAGAAGCUUCAAGAAUCACAUAGGGAAGGGGAGAUGAGGGACACCAUGCUCAAAUCAGCCAAAUUUGGGUUAAAAUCGACCAUCCCCAACCAAAUUUUGCCAUUCUUUUUCCCACAAAACCUUCUCCCUUUCCUUUCUUUCUACAUAAUCAGUUGAGUUGCUGAAAUUUCCACCAGAAAACACAAAAUGAAGGAAGAAAAACAGGGG
rnacentral:misc_RNA from 1 species